rnacentral:rRNA from 1 species
GACGAACGCUGGCGGCGUGCUUAACACAUGCAAGUCGAACGGUAAGGCCCUUCGGGGUACACGAGUGGCGAACGGGUGAGUAACACGUGGGUGAUCUGCCCUGCACUUCGGGAUAAGCCUGGGAAACUGGGUCUAAUACCGGAUAGGACUCCUGACUGCAUGGUCUGGGGUGGAAAGCUUUGGCGGUGGGGGUUGGUCCCGCGUACGUUCAGCUUGUUGGUGGGGUGAGAGCCUACCAAGGCGGCGACGGGGCGCCGGCCUGGCGGGGUUACCAGACACGCUCGGACGGGGAUACGGCCCAGACUCAUACGAGAGGCAGCAGUGGGGAGUAUUGCACAAUGGGCUCAAGCCUGAUGCGGCGACGCCGCGUGAGGGAUGACGGCCUUCGGGUGGUAAACCUCUUUCAGCAUCGACGAAGCGAAAGUGACGGUAGGUGCAGAAGAAGGACCGGCCAACUACGUGCCAGCAGCCGCAGUAA